rnacentral:rRNA from 1 species
UGGGGAAUAUUGCACAAUGGGCGCAAGCCUGAUGCAGCCAUGCCGCGUGUGUGAAGAAGGCCUUCGGGUUGUAAAGUACUUUCAGUCGGGAGGAAGGUGGUAAGGUUAAUAACCUUGGCAAUUGACGUUACCGACAGAAGAAGCACCGGCUAACUCCGUGCCAGCAGCCGCGGUAAUACGGAGGGUGCAAGCGUUAAUCGGAAUUACUGGGCGUAAAGCGCACGCAGGCGGUUGAUUGAGUCAGAUGUGAAAUCCCCGGGCUUAACCCGGGAAUUGCAUCUGAUACUGGUCAGCUAGAGUCUUGUAGAGGGGGGUAGAAUUCCAUGUGUAGCGGUGAAAUGCGUAGAGAUGUGGAGGAAUACCGGUGGCGAAGGCGGCCCCCUGGACAAAGACUGACGCUCAGGUGCGAAAGCGUGGGGAGCAAACAUG